ensembl:snoRNA SNORD62 Small nucleolar RNA SNORD62
UCCCAGUGAUAGAGUCCCUGUAGACCAUUCUGAUCCUCUACUGUGGACUCAGUGCAGCGGGAUAGAGAAGCCAGGGGCCGAGAGC